UUUUAAAAUGAUGACAAAUUCUUUCGCCCCUAACUGAAAGUUUUGGAAACUUCUCAUGUUGAAUGCGAAUAUGAUUGGUCUUACUGAAAAUUAGAU